rnacentral:rRNA from 1 species
CGAACGGAAAGGCCCUGCUUGCAGGGUACUCGAGUGGCGAACGGGUGAGUAACACGUGGGUGAUCUGCCCUGCACUUCGGGAUAAGCUUGGGAAACUGGGUCUAAUACCGGAUAGGAACCAUCUUUAGUGUGGUGGUUGGAAAGUUUUUUCGGUGUAGGAUGAGCUCGCGGCCUAUCAGCUUGUUGGUGGGGUAAUGGCCUACCAAGGCGGCGACGGGUAGCCGGCCUGAGAGGGUGUACGGCCACAUUGGGACUGAGAUACGGCCCAGACUCCUACGGGAGGCAGCAGUGGGGAAUAUUGCACAAUGGGCGCAAGCCUGAUGCAGCGACGCCGCGUGGGGGAUGAAGGCCUUCGGGUUGUAAACUCCUUUCGCUAGGGACGAAGCUUUUUGUGACGGUACCUAGAUAAGAAGCACCGGCUAACUACGUGCCAGCAGCCGCGGUAAUACGUAGGGUGCGAGCGUUGUCCGGAAUUACUGGGCGUAAAGGGCUCGUAGGUGGUUUGUCGCGUCGUCUGUGAAAUUCCACAGCUUAACUGUGGGCGUGCAGGCGAUACGGGCUGACUUGAGUACUGUAGGGGUAACUGGAAUUCCUGGUGUAGCGGUGAAAUGCGCAGAUAUCAGGAGGACACCGAUGGCGAAGGCAGGUUACUGGG